rnacentral:tRNA from 1 species
GCGACAGUAGCUCAACGGUAGAGCAGCAAAAACAUCUUGAUUCAACAUUUAUCCUCAAUGGGUCGCCGAAUUAAGUUUAUCGACUCAUAAUCGGCUGGUAGUAGGUUCAAUUCCUACCUGUCGCA